rnacentral:rRNA from 1 species
GGGUCAGUGGGUUGGUCGUGCCACCGGUACGUACUGGUCUCACUGAUCCUCCUUCCUGAAGAACCGUAAUGCCAUUAAUUUGGUGUUGCGGGGAAACAGGACUGUUACUUUGAAAAAAUUAGAGUGUUUAAAGCAAGCUAACGCUUGAAUACAUUAGCAUGGAAUAAUGAAAUAGGACGAUCGAUCCUAUUUUGUUGGUUUCUAGGAUUGACGUA